rnacentral:rRNA from 1 species
AAAAUGGAGAGUUUGAUCCUGGCUCAGAGUGAACGCUGGCGGCGUGCCUAAUACAUGCAAGUCGAACGGACAAGUAAGAGCUUGCUCUUAUGAGUUAGUGGCGCACGGGUGAGUAAUGUAUAGUUAAUCUGCCCUA